GUCCUUUAGGUUGAUAAUAUAAGGUCUAAUCUGCCCACUGAUUAAUUAAAUGGCCGCAGUAAUUUGACUGUGCAAAGGUAGCAUAAUCAUUAGUUUUUUAAUUAAAAGCUUGUAUGAAUGAUUGGACGAGAUAAAAUCUGUCUCUUAAUUAUGGUUAGAAUUUAAUUUUUAAGUUAAAAAGCUUAAAUUUUUAUGAAAGACGAGAAGACCCUAUAGAUCUUAAUUUAUAAAUUUUAUAAUUUUUAUAAAGAUUAUUUUAUUAUUUAUAAUUUUAUAAAUUUUAUUGGGGUAAUAAAAAGAUUUAAAAAAUUCUUUUAUAAUUUUACAAUUAUUAUUGAUUAUUUGAUCCAUUAUUAAUGAUUAAAAGAUUAAGUUACCUUAGGGAUAACAGCGUAAUUUUUUUAAAGAGUUCAUAUCGAUAAAAAAGAUUGCGACCUCGAUGUUGGAUUAAAAGUAAUUUUAGGUGCAGAAGUCUAAAGUUUUGGUCUGUUCGACCAUUAAAUUUUU
rnacentral:rRNA from 1 species